rnacentral:lncRNA from 14 species
UGUGGCAGGACACAGUGUCCUGUGACAGCCCCAUUGCCUCGAGUCUGUUCUGAUUUUGCAGGCUGAAUUAUUCCUAAUGCGUCACCCAGGCUGUGCACGAUGGAGAUUGCUUUUGCAUGGGCGGUGCUGUGCCAAGAAGCUGCAUGGCAAAAGGCAGCCACCUGUAAUUCUGAGCUGCUCUCUCUGCUUUACAAUGGGCUUUGGCAUAGGAUGGCUGUGACAGAGCUGCACUACAGACUGUGGAGUUUACUCAUUCCCAGGGAACAGGAUGGCUGUGAAGAGAUUCAUCCCCAGUGACAAGUGUAGAGAUAUGUAUGUCUGCACAGGAACACAUUGCCAACGGCCUGCAUGGAGCUGCUGCUGAGAGGCUGAACGCUGCAGAACAGGAAGUCAUCCCUUCUGGUAGAAAACUCUCCCUUUUAGCAAGCUGCAGUAAUCAUUUCUGUUGUGAUAGGGGCCUUCAGUUUGAUGUACACAUGCACACUUGAUGUACACUUGCUGUUCCUGUUAAUUCUGCAGCUCAGCCACCUGCUUCUGACACAUUACCUGCAGUGUAAAUAGGGGUGUGCUGCUAAUUCAGCACAACAGAGAGUUUGAUGGUAUUUUUCCAUCACUAAACACAAAAGCCGUUUGUUUUAUCAUUGCAGGAAUUGCAUUAGCUCUGCUGACCAUUACCCUUGACUGCAGGAGCUGCUGGAGCAAAUGAGCCCAUGAGUGUGCAUCGUGCAGCAACUUGCUUUGGCUCCCACCUUUCUCUCCCAGAUGUCAGGUGCUAGUGAGACGUGCCAGGGUUUCAGAGGAGUAAUCACAUCAACUGCAGCAGAGAACAAGCUGUCAUCAUUCACUGUGCUAAUGAAAAUUAUGAUGACACCACAACAGAAAUCCUUGCUAAUCUAAUCUCACACCACCACAGCACAAAGUUAUUCAAAGAAUGAUGUUCUUAGGAGUAUAUGAAAGCUUAAGAACUAUUUCUGAAGGUGAUUAACUGCUAAAGUGAAGCUGUAUGGAGAAUUCAGUUUUGGGAGCGUGCAUUCCCCUAAGCACCAGCAUUAUUCCUACUGUAUUAGAGAAAACAAGUUCAAUAAAUCCCAAAGCUGUGGCUGCCCCA